rnacentral:rRNA from 1 species
GACUUCUGGUUUAAUGCGCCUGGCCCGCGGUCGCAAGAUUUGUGAGUGCCGGUGCGCGUUUACCAUCCUUCUAGGAACGAGUCUUCCCUUUACUGGGCCGGACUCGGGAUCUAGAUCAUUUACUUUGAAAAAAUUAGAGUGUUUAAAGCAGGCUAUUGCUAUGAAUACAUUAGCAUGGAAUAAUAAUCUAGGACUUUCGGUUCUAUUUUGUUGGUGUUCUGGAGCUGAAGUAAUGAUUGAUAGGGAUAGUUGGGGGUGCUAGUAUUCAAUGGCCAGAGGUGAAAUUCUCGGAUUCCUUGAAGACUAACUUAUGCGAAAGCAUU